rnacentral:rRNA from 1 species
CAGUCGCCGCGGGAAUACGAGGGGGGCAAGCGUUGUUCGGAAUUAUUGGGCGUAAAGGGCGCGUAGGCGGCUGUGUAAGUCAGAGGUGAAAGCCCGGGGCUCAACCCCGGAAUAGCCUUUGAGACUGCAUAGCUUGAACACGGGAGAGGUGAGUGGAAUUCCGAGUGUAGAGGUGAAAUUCGUAGAUAUUCGGAAGAACACCAGUGGCGAAGGCGGCUCACUGGACCGUUGUUGACGCUGAGGUGCGAAAGCGUGGGGAGCAAACAGGAUUAGAUACCCCCGUAGUCCCUGUCUCUUAUAC